rnacentral:rRNA from 1 species
CCUACGGGUGGCAGCAGUGGGGGAUAUUGCACAAUGGGGGGAACCCUGAUGCAGCGACGCCGCGUGGGUGAAGAAGCGCCUCGGCGCGUAAAGCCCUGUCAGCAGGGAAGAAAAUGACGGGACCUGAAGAAGAAGCCACGGCUAACGACGGGCCAGCAGCCGCGGUAAUACGUAGGGGGCAAGCGUUAUCCGGAUUUACUGGGUGUAAAGGGGGCGCAGGCGGGGAGGCAAGCCAGGAGUGAAAGCCCGGGGCCCCACCCCGGGACUGCUCUUGGAACUGCGGGGCUGGAGUGCAGGAUGGGCAGUCGGACUUCCUGGUGUAGCGGUGAAAUGCGUAGAUAUCAGGAGGAACACCGGUGGCGCAGGCGGCCUGCUGGACUGCAACUGACGUUGAGGCCCGAACGCGUGGGGAGCAAACAGGAUUAGAUACCCUUGUAGUC